rnacentral:lncRNA from 1 species
GGGAGUGCGGCGAACAUACUGUCGCAGGAGGCUUUCGCAAAAAUGGGGAUCUCUCCAAAAUAGCUCAAAGCAGUAAAGACUCCCCUACAGGGAUUUGGUGGUGGAGUCAUUAUCCCCGAGGGCAUCGACUAGCUUCCGCUUACAUUAGGAUCUGGUAAUACACAAGUGACGGAGAUCACGCCAUUCCAAGUGGUUAACUCCCCAAUGGCCUACAACAUCAUUCUGGGAAGACCCCUACUGAACAAGAUCCAGGCUAUUGUAUCAACUUUCCACCUUGCCAUGAAGUUCCCCAUAGGUCAUGGCAUCGGAAUAGUUAGAGAAAACUAAAUGGCUACCAGACAGUGCUAUGUUACCAGCAUCCGAGGAAUGAGUACAGACGUCAUGCAACUUUCAGACCUCGAG